GUGCUCAAUUCAGCAGCACAUACACUAAAAUUGGAGCAAUACAGAGAGGAUUAGCAUGGCCCUGCGCAAGGUUCACAUGCAAAUUAUUGAAUCCUUCCAUAUUUUU